ensembl:lncRNA
GCUGUCUACGGGCUCCCUGGGCUGAGCCCGCCUGUCUGCUGGCGGGAAGCCAGAGGUCCGGGCUGAGGUCCCUGUGCCACAGGUUCUCAGCACGAUGCCUUACUGCGCGAGCCCAAACUUGUGUGCCUCAGCUUCCUUGUCGGCUUCGAGGGGAUAAAGAUGCCUGUCCUGGGCUGGCCUGGGGUUGGGUGGUGCCCCUGCAUCCCCAAGUGGAUGGUGAGCCAGAGGGCAGGAGCCACAGCUUCCUCGGUGCUGCGUGCAGAAGGGGAAGAAGGGCAGCCGGUGGGAACCGGGACCCAGGCGGAGAGGAAGGCCAGGUGUCUCCACUUAUCAUAAGAGUCUCCAGCGUACAGUUCUCGGUACAGUUCUCCAGAGUGACCUUCAGAGCCGUCGCUGAUCGUCUGCACGCAAGGCCAGGCCUCCCAAGGACACCCCACUUCUCGUGUCCCCAGGCGCAGUUCUGAAGCUCAGCAAACGCCCAGCUGAAGGUCUGCCCUCAAGGACUGCCUCUGUUGGCUGGGGUGGGAUAGGGGGUAUGCCCUCCCCCACUCCCCACCUCUGUUCCUAAAACCUUGCCUCCAGCCAAGCCCCUGUUAGCUUCUAGCAUCCUCUGCUCUUGUGGCCUUGACUUGGGCACUCUGUGUGCUUUGAAAAGUGAGAAUGAAAGUCACUCAGUUGUGUCGGACUCUUUGUGACCCCGUGGGCUAUACAGUCUGUGGAAUUCUUCAGGCCAGAAUACCGGAGUGUGUAGCCAUUCCCUUCUUCAGGGGAUCUUCCCAACCCAGGGAUCAAACCCAGGUCUCCCGCAUUGCGGGUGAAUACUUUACCAGCUGAGCCACCAGAGAAGGCCGAGAAUACUGGAGUAGGGUAGCCUAUCCCUUCUCCAGUGGCUCUUCCCAACCCAGGAAUCGAAUCAGGGUCUCCCGCAUUGCAGGCAGAUUCUUUGCCAGCUGAGCUGUGUGCUUUACAGGCACCAAUUCAUUGAAACCUCAUCACAGUCCCAUUUCACAG